AUAGUAUGUCUGAAACUACUUUCUUACUUUGUUUUCUGUAGCCAUAGCCCUCACUAGUCCAUGUAUUAAUACACUUAAUAAGUGAGCUAUAUCACUGUAUCCAAGCACUGUGCUUAAAUACUUAUACAUGUUUGGAAUUAGUUAAGCCUCAUAACAAUACUGUGACUUUAUGAGGAAACUGAGGCUUGGUAAGGCUAAAUAACUUGCCUAAUUUCUUACUAUUAAUAUAUGCUAGAAUCAAGACCUAGAUUUUUCAGAUCACUCUACUUAACCUCUAAGCUGAUAUGCAUUCAUCUGCUCAACCUCUGCCAGAUUCUGUAACUCAAGUCAUUGAGGGCAUAAGAAUCGAUGUUCCCAGUGUCAGUUCCAAUCACUUAUUUGUGCAGUAGUUUCUGUUAUCUCUUACAUCACAAUAAAAUGCCAAGUUCGGGCUUUAGAUUGUUCCUACCCAUCUCAUCUCAACCACUUUCUUUCUUCUUUUAACUAUCAGAGAAGGCCUUUUAAUGUGGAAUUCUCUUACUCACAUGAAUCAUCUUAUGUACCAUUUUUAACAAUGAAGCAUAUUAAAAUUCCAGGCUUCCAGGUAAAACAUUAUGCCCCAUCUUCCAACUUGCCCUUCUGUGUUCUCCACCAAGCAAUAUUAUGACUAUUGUUCAACUUAUCAUAUCUGUGAUUGUCCCUGCUGUGUUUGACUUACAAAUGACACUAGUUUUCUGUGACUUGGAUGAGAACACCAUUAUCAUCUACCUUAUAAAACAGUUUAACUUUAUUAUUAGACAUGCACAGUACCCCAUGGAUGAGGGAAGAGGUGAAGAGUAGAUAGAAGAAAGAAUUAAAUGUCUCCUGUGAGCUAUAAAGACAACCUCAGUUGGAAUUUCCUGAGAAGGGAAAAUAAAGAAGUUGGUAUACAUCGAGCUUCAUAGAUCUAAAAUAACUCUCUUUGCUGGAGAAUUGUGUAUUUUAGUAAGAGGUUUUAUUUUUUUUCUUCUGCCAGAUCUAUUUAACUUCUGAUUAACACCAUAUAGUCCAUACUCUCUUCACAGUCUUCAGCUAUUUCCUUUUUUCUGUAUGAUCUCUAGAACCCUGAUCUUUUCCCUUGACUUCAUCUCAUAAUUCUUGUACACGCCUCAUACCUCCCUUAAGUUCUCCUGCCAUCCUUCACUUUUUUUCUUACAUUUCUACCUUAAGUUUCUGGUCUGUCUACUAGCCCUAAAUUUCAUUAUUUUAAAAAUGUUUUUAAGAUUUUAAGAUAUAUAGAGUCCCUUGAGCAGGGACCUGUGCUGUCUUUGUCAGAACUCAGCAGGUAAAACAGUUACUCUGAUGCCAUGACAAUGCUUUAAUAAAAUUCUAGUAAAGGACUUAAGAGCCUUAAGGAUUAAAUUACUAUAUAAUCAUUUUUCCUAUACUAAGCAGUAUUGAAUAAAUAAACUGUUUCAUUAUUUUUAAAUCUGUUGGUGAAAUUAUAAUGUAAGAGAUUCUAAUAUUGGCUAUUAGUAGCCUGCAUAUAUACAUAUAAAUCACUUGAGAUCUUUAUUUGUAAUAAUGAUUUUUAAAAACAGGCUGAAGUCUCACACUCAUAGCAAAGGUGAGAGUUCUGCUAUUCCAAAGCUUGCUUUUGACAGAACCAUACUGUUAGGACUCUUAAUGUUAGGCCUUUGUUGCCAUGGAGACAGUAACAGGCUUUAAUAUUAUUUUUUAACAUAUACUGAAAAUAUGCAUACCCUAAGGUAUAAAGCGUGACUUAGUUGUCUGUUGGUUUUGAGUAUUGACACAUUUUGAAAAUAGUUUCUAUAUACUUUUAAUGCUUGAUUUUUAUCCUUCAAAGAAAAUGAAGGAGAUUUCUGACCAUUGUGAUAACAGAGUUGUAUAUUACUUGUCUUUUAGGAAUAACGUAGAAUCUCUUGUGAGUCAGUAAUGGAUGAGGACUUUGAAGAACAUGCAGAAACUUUUGAGAAAAGUAAUGUGAUCUUAGACACAUGUCUUGGCCGCCUAUGAUUAUGACACUAAUAUGUAAUACAAACAAAUCAAUUUCAGAUUCAACUAAUACUUUGUGCCAGUACUGUGCUAAGCACUGUCACCCUAUUAUAGUUUAUUUAAUAGAACUCAGUUUGAAAGCACCUAAGCAAUCCUCAUAUUUUAACUUUUACAAUAACUGAUUAUUCGAAUGUGUAUCAAUAGCAUUCCUGAAUUUUUCCUCCUAAAAAUUAGUAAAUAAAAUGUAUACAUACUUUCAAUAAGUAAAACUUUCAAUUCAUGAGUUAUACUUUAUUCCUUACAAGAAUGAAUGGAUUCCAUGGCAUGAGAUAUUAAUAUUCCAUAGGCAUCAUGAUUAAAUUGGUAACUAAAUCACAUGUCUUUAGCUUCUAGUGUCAAACUAGCAGGGCCUAGUUAAUACUUUAGUCCACCAGCAGUUUUGACUUCUUACAUUAAUAGCUGAGAAGUAAGGUAAUUGAUUUUCUUGUUAAGCUACGUAGAUUAAGCCUGAUGGCUUAUAUUUAAUCCUACUUAUGGUGUUUAUCAUGACCAAGUAUUAGAGUAGUUAUUUCUGGAUAACAAAAACCUUUUGAUUACAGUUAUUAUAAACAAAACCUUGAAACAUAGUCCUGUGCUUUCCUUAGUCAACAUCUGUAUUUAAUGGCAAAAGAAGCCAAAGUAAGAAAGCUCUUUGCUUUAUAAAGAGAGAGAAAUAAGGUAACAGACAAUCACAAUUUAUACUAAUAGUUUUGAAUAUUAGAUUUUAGCUUUUCCAGUUUUCAGUGACUUUUAACAAGACCCAUCUCCUCUAUGAAGAAUGCAGUUAGUUUUUUUUUUUUUUCUGGCUCAAAAAAUAGGGUAACCUGAUCUGAGUCUGACAGAGUGUGUCGUUCAUUUAAGUGCUUCCAUCUGUUGCCUGCUGUUCCCCUUACUCAUGACCCCUCUAUGUUUCUCUCUUUCCCUUUUUCCUUCUCUUUCCCUGUUUCUCUCCCUUCCUUUCUCUUUCUUUCUCUCUUGCUCUCUCUGUCUCUUGCUUGCUCUCUCUCUCUUUUUGUUCUUAGCCCCUCUGAGGAAGGCAAAGUUUGUUGAGAGCCCACGAAUUCCAGAAUCCGAGCUUGGCUCACCAACCCUCACUUCAGCUCAGAAACUGGACGUGGAUGCAUACUGCCCUGGUAAGCAUGCAUGCAAAGUGUCUGCUUUGAAAGAGGGAGGAUUGGAUCAGGCCCAUCCAGCAGAGCAGUGUUUUGCAUGUAUACUACUCAUAAAAACAUGUUACCUCUUUUGCAACUGAUUGCCUAUUCUUCUUAAUAGAACAUAGUUUUUACUGAAUGCCCUGUUUUGACUUUGAUACAAUAAUGAGAGUAAGUAUUGAAAAUAAUUUCAAAGGUAAUUUUCAAAAGAAUUAAAAUAAUUUUGGUAGAUAAGUAGUUUUAGGUAAGUAGGGUUACUUUUGUGAUUUGAGAUACUUAAAGAAAUUUUCCUGUGGCCAUGUGCAAACAGAAAUGUUGAAGAUGUGAAUAAGAAUAUUCAACACUAGACACAAAAGUGUUCUAUGCAACACUUUUGCAUACAGCCUUUAUGCCUAAUUCCUGUUGGAUUUCUGGUGAUUAUAGAAAAUACUUGUGAUGCUGGAAACAUUAAACUUGAAUUAGAAAAGAAAUAUAGGUUUCCGAGAUGGACUCCUUUUGGAUACAGAUACUUACUUUUAGAAAUACCUCUUGUGAAUGGCCUGUAAACACGUGAGAGUUCACUAAAACUCUUCUUGUGUGGGAGCCAAACUGAGAAAGACUCAUUAUCAAUGCUUAGAUUCUUUCAAACUUAGAUGAGUUGCCUGGCAACAUCCUUUACACUCUCUCUACAGUGAGUCUAUAGAGCUGUGUCAGAAAUGUUCACAGCUCUAGCUUAGUAUACAGAUUAGAGCAUUAGUAAAGGAAGGACCUUGGAAGACUUGGUUUUAGGUCUUUUGUUUAUUCCUGCUCAUUAAAAUUGAUGUUAAACCACAGUGAAUACAACUACUACAUAUUUACAGCAUGAGGGGUCAGCAGAGUAAAAUGAUUCCUAGUUCUGGGAAAGAUAUCAAUAUCUGUGAUCUGAAAUGUCAGUAUAAUAUACCUUCGAAGCCAGAUAAGACAUAGUAAAACAAAAAACAAAACAGUAGGAGAAAAUUUGGGCCAAAGCUCAUAAAAUGAGAGACGUUUCAUUUUAUGAGUCAAUUUUGAAUACUGAAAGACCUUGGGGAUUUUGCUUUCCUUCGGGGUAUUGAAACGGCUUCAUCCACUCUUAUAGAUAACCAUUCUUUUCUAAAUCAAUCACAGUUUUGUAUUAGGAACCAGCUUUUCUGUUUUCAAAAGGAACAAAGUAGUUCUUUAAAUGGUACUAUAGCACACGAUUAGAAGAAUCUUUCAUGUUUUGAGGUAUUGUCACGCUUCUUGGGCAGUCGAAUAUUGUACUUUGCAUUUCUUCAUGCAAAUUUUAGUGUUAUAAAGUAAAAUAAGUGUGCUAAUUUUCUAUCCCUUUCUUGAGUUUUAGAAGGAAAACCCUGUCAGAGGCCUUUUCUUUUCCAGAUUUGCAAGUCAGAAUGACUGUCAUGGGGGCCUAAUCUUUCACUUCCUGAUUGCCCAUCUGACAUCUUUAAUCUAAUCUAAAGCUAAAGUCUUAUUCAGGUGAUUAUUUAUGUAUAUUUUCCACAGGCAUGAAUUCUUUGUUGAAUUAGAGUUAAACUAAAGCUCGGUUAUGAUUUUUAGAAAGGAAGAAACUAAAACACAAUAUCAAAGUGCUGCUAAAAAAGUCUUUCCUUUUCUUAUCUGAAACAAUUUUAAAGCAUAGAAACUUUAUAGUGAUUUGCUCGUUUCUAAUCAAGUUAUUAGAUGCUCUGAAAAUUAGUUUCUACCAAGAUAAGAAUGGUAACCUGAGGGUUGAAGCUAUUAUCUCUACAUAGUAUCAAAAAUUAACAAUAACCAAAUGAAUUGAUGAGUAUACUCACAAACCAAAAAGAUUUUGCAUUUUUUCAUGCAAAUUUUAGUAUUAUAAAGUGAAAUAAUACUUAAUUUUUGAAUUUCUUUCACAUAGGAUAUACUAACACCACUGAUGAUAUUUUAUUGUGCAUUCAUACAGAGUAAUACAGUUAAGGCUACUAGUGUUCUGAUACCUUCUUGUCUGCCUGCUUUAUUCAUUAUCACCUGAAAAUUUAGGAAAAUACUUUGUCUCCCAGAGGCAACAAUCACAAACUGAAGGUUAGAGCAGUGGUUUUCAAACUUUAACUUACUUCAGAAUUACCUGGAAGAUUUGUCCAAGUGCAGAUUGGUGGGCCCCCAGAAUUUCUUACUCAGUAGGUCUGGAGUGGGUCAAGAAUUUGCAUUUCUAACAAAAUCUCAGAUCAUACUGAAGCUGCUGUUUGAGAUUCUAUGCUUUGAGAACCAAUUGGGUUACAGGGCUGCUGCAGGCUGCUCACUGUACAGUCAUUGUUCAGUGGUUCAGUGAACAAUGCUGAAAGUCUUUGGGGUUCCUUCUACCACUAUUGAUAUCUGGGGAGUAACUGCCAGUGUUGUUUCUGUGUUAUCUAAACUUAAACCUUUUGGUAGCUUUUGUGUCUGAGAAAUGGACUUAUAUAUUUUUCUUGGUAUGUCUUUUUGUACCUGACAUCUGUGUACCCAUGUCUAACUUUUCUGUGUUGUCCUGCAUUUAAAAGGAAAUUGUGGAUCAAACCAAACCAAUUCACUGAUGGUUAAGUCCAAAAGUGUAGGGAAAGCUACUCUGGAGUAUAGCUGUUGAGCUGGAAUAUUAAAUUGAGUGAUUCAUUAUAUAGCAUUAUCUUCUAUAAUAUCUAAUUAAAGGUUUACUGUUCCUCAAGUUACAUUUGUUGUAUGCAAAAAAUGUGGGAAAAAUACAAGCAAACAGUAUGUUUUGGUUCUGCAGCUACAACUGUGGAGAUAAUCGAUGGUGUUAAGUAAACUACCAGAAUAAAGGGGAUGUUCCGGGAAUUGUGUGUGUUAAUUGUCUCACAGUGGGGAAACUAAGAUCUAGAGAAUUCAAGUGAUUUGUCUAGGGUCACAAGCAGGAUUUGUUGUUCAGCUCUUGAAGUGGACACAAUAUAGUCCAAAAAUAUAUUGCCCUCUAAUCCUGUCACUGUGUAAAUUCCAUGAGCAUUCCUUACUGUCCUUAGAUUUAAAAGCAGAAAAUUCAGUUAAGUAUGAGAUAGUCAUAUUCUAUUUUUAUGAAAAAGGGUAACCAACUGUUAGUGAUUUCAAUAAAGCAAUUUCCAAAAUAAGAAAAUAGAUUCAUCCUACACUCUAUCACUUUUCUAUCUACAGUAUUACUUAUUAGGUGUGUGAUUUGGGGCAAGUCACUUAACCUUUCUACCUGUUUCUUCAUCUGUAAAAAUAGAGUUGAUAAUUGUAAAUCAGUUUAAUAUAUAUAAAGCACUUAGAAGAAUGCUUGGCUCAUAGUCAGUGCUCAUAAAUGUUAGUUGAUUUUAUUAUUUUUGCAGUGAUGAUCCUAAGGUAUAAGACAAGGUCUUAAUCAGAAAAAAUACUUAAAGGUUUGGGGUCAUUUUUUGUUAAAUGUGUCCUGUUGCAUUUCAAUUCUGAUUUUUCUCUGAUGAAUCUUAUGGUCUGGAACAUGUCACUUAACUUUUCCAUUCCACAGUCUCCUGUCACAGCAACAUUAUUUCUAUAAUUUAACAAAUUAUGCUUUUAUAUAGAUACAUGAAUAUAUAUUCAUAGGAAAAAAUUUCUAGAAGAAUACACCAAACCGUACCACCGGUUGCCUAAGGAGGGGAGACUUUGAAUUAUUGGAAAGUUAGAGUAGGAUUGUUGUGAGAUAAUAUUAGUUAGCAGAGAUUAUAUCUGGUUGGUGGCAUUACAGGUGGUUUUAAUUUUCUUUCUUGGGCAGCAUGUAUUAGUGAAUAAGAGCUUAUGUUCUGGAGUUAGAUCUAGGUUUAAUUUUUUUCUCUUCCACCUACUAGCUGUGUGACUGAUAAAAAUAGACCUAUCUUAAAAAAAAAACAAAAACAAAA
rnacentral:sRNA from 1 species